GGAGCUUUCCUAAGCUGCAGGAGCUUUGAGCUGGCCUCAACACCAGCAGCCCUCGAGGGUCUUCUGCUCGGCCCAGCUUUGCAUUGUUGCUUUAGGACAAAGAGGAAGGUUUUUAAGCAAGACUACGGAAGGACAUAGGCUGGAUUAGGGCUGGAUUAGAGAUGGCGACGAGAUGCUCCCAAGACGAGAUGAGUCGAGAGCGUGGACCCGUCCAAAUUUCAGCAUUGAAAUUGAAAAAAAAACCCAAAUAUCAGGCAAAAUUCUCUGUGCGUUCUUUUUUGGGUUGUUUUCCUCGAAACAAGGCGGUCUCUGGGAAAAUCGGGCCCCGCGUCUCCCCGCGUGGCCGCUCUUGAGCUUGGGAGGUGCCUCCAAACCGCAAGAGGAAACGGAGCCUCCGUCCAAGCUCCAACCAGCCCUUGGGUUCCUCUUGGCCCACCAGCGAGAGGAACGUGAGCGCUUAUCUGCUCCCUCCUCGCUCCGCGGUCAUCCUCGCGCUCCUAUCAGGUCAUCUCGUGGUURGUUCUUCUUCUUCGUGUCUCGGCCUCCAACGUCCAGAGAGAAGAUGCCACCGCUGAUACCAGCCACGAGCCCGGCGACCAGGAAGCGACAUCUAACCCAAGCUCUAAUCAACGCCAGCGGACGCGCCGCGGUGGUAUCUGCUGAGGAGGCCUCGUCGUCGGGCGGAAUUUCCGCGGGUUUGGUUAAAACCCGCGCCGA